UUGGAGGGCAAGUCUGGUGCCAGCAGCCGCGGUAAUUCCAGCUCCAAUAGCGUAUAUUAAAGUUGUUGCAGUUAAAAAGCUCGUAGUUGAAUUUCGGGAUCAAAUAAUCGGUCGUGCCUCCGGUACGUACUGGUUUUAUUGGUUCCUCCCUUCUGACGAACCAUGAUGUCAUUAAUUUGAUGUGGUGGAGAAUCAGGACUGUUACCUUGAAAAAAUUAGAGUGUUUAAAGCAGGCUGACGCUUGAAUACAUUAGCAUGGAAUAAUGAAAUAGGACGUUCGACCCUAUUUUGUUGGUUUCUAGGAUCGACGUAAUGAUUAAUAGGGAUAGUUGGGGGCAUUAGUAUUCAAUUGUCAGAGGUGAAAUUCUUGGAUUUAUUGAAGACUAACUACCGCGAAAGCAUUUGCCAAGGAUGUUUUCAUUAAUCAAGAACGAAAGUUAGGGGAUCGAAGACGAUCAGAUACCGUCGUAGUCUUAACCAUAAACUAUGCCGACUAGGGAUCGGAUGAUGUUAAUUUUUUAAUGACUCAUUCGGCGCCUUACGGGAAAC
rnacentral:rRNA from 1 species